rnacentral:lncRNA from 1 species
ACAGCAUAGAGCACCAAUUCAUUUUACAGUGAUUUUUUUCUUUUUAUACUUUUAAUUACUUCGCCUUCUUAACAUUGAACUUUCAGCUGUGCAAAGAAAGGGAGGAUUGGAAGACAGUAAUUGCCCAAGUGUGGGUGUUUGCUUGAUGCCUAUGGGCAGAGGGGCCAGAGAGGGGAUAGUCAAUGUGGGGGAUGCAAAAGGUGUUGAAAAUGGAAAGACUGAGUGGAGCAAAUUUCUCUGGGAAAUUUGUCCUCAGUGAAGCUAUAGAAGACUGAAUAUUUGAAGAAUAGUUCAAAGAGGUGUCUAGGAAAUGCAGAUCUGGCUUCAACUCCCCUUCCACUUUCUUCUACUCCAAAACAAACAUCUAUGAAGCCCUGCAAUAAGCACUGCUGUCUGCAUUCGAUUAACCAGGACUCAGUCAUGUGACCUGCAUCCAAGUACAAACAAAACUAGCUGGAGAAAAGAGAGUUGCAUUUCCUACCAAAAAGGAACAAGUACAAAGACCCUGUGGUUGGAGAGAACAUGGCAUAUGACACAUUUGAGGAACUGAAGGAAAGUAUUUGGAAUUAUGCUGUGUAUGAUGCUAAAGGAAAAAGACUUCCUCCUUUCCCAUCAAAGUGACAAUGUGUUGGGGAGGGAGGAGAGAAGGAAAUGUGGAAGUUUGUGUUUCGGUGUUAAAUGUAAUGGUCUAUAAAUUAUACUUCCAUGUAAUAUGAACUUAUGGAAAUUUUGAUUUAAAGAGGUUGUGUCU